CCCUUGUUUACCAACAUGUCUUUAGCCCCAGGACAGUUCAGUGUCAAUUUAGGUUCUCAGAAAAUACUUCUUCAGUGAACCGUCCUAUGGCCCAGACUGAAAACUACAGGAGUCUUCACCAAUUCCAUGGAGUGUUGCAUAUAUUAUGGCUUGGAAAGAAAAUAAAUCCUUUGUGGCAGAAAUUUGUGAACUUGGCUUUAAAGAUAUUGCAUGAGCUAUUCCAUAGUACACAAUUAUCAACUCAGCUUCUCAUUUACUAAAAAAUAGUAUCACUUGGACCAGAAACUUGACUCUGGAGCUUCCAGAGGAUAAAGGGAAACAUUCAUCUGCACAGAAUGGCAUGGCACGCAGAAGUGAUGAGGGCUGCACUCCAAGAGGAUUAAGCACACAAAGAAGAUAAUUAACUUGCUGAGGCCCUACAGAAAAUUGUGGAAUGGUAAGAACGGCAUUCAGAGUUUCUGCUAUCCUAAGAAAGAUUGAUUCAAAUAGCUACAGUACAUGCCUCAGAGUUCAUUUGUAAGCCCCAAGUGUUCAUAGAAAUGAAGAAGAAUAUUUAACCUUAAACAUCAGGCAAAGAAAAUAAAAUGUUGAUAAUUUACAA
ensembl:lncRNA